GACGAACGCUGGCGGCGUGCUUAACACAUGCAAGUCGAGCGGUAAGGCCCUUUCGGGGGUACACGAGCGGCGAACGGGUGAGUAACACGUGGGUGACCUGCCUUUAGCUCUGGGAUAAGCCUGGGAAACCGGGUCUAAUACCGGAUAUGACUCCGCGGCGCAUGUUGUGGGGUGGAAAGCCUUGUGCGGCUGGAGAUGGGCCCGCGGCCUAUCAGCUUGUUGGUGGGGUGAUGGCCUACCAAGGCGACGACGGGUAGCCGGCCUGAGAGGGCGACCGGCCACACUGGGACUGAGACACGGCCCAGACUCCUACGGGAGGCAGCAGUGGGGAAUCUUGCGCAAUGGGCGAAAGCCUGACGCAGCGACGCCGCGUGAGGGAUGACGGCCUCGU
rnacentral:rRNA from 1 species